rnacentral:rRNA from 1 species
UACGUAGGGGGCGAGCGUUAUCCGGAUUUAUUGGGUGUAAAGGGAGCGUAGACGGCAUGGCAAGUCUGGAGUGAAAGCCCGGGGCCCAACCCCGGGACUGCUCUGGAAACGGCCAUGCUAGAGUGCUGGAGAGGUAAGUGGAAUUCCUAGUGUAGCGGUGAAAUGCGUAGAUAUUAGGAGGAACACCAGUGGCGAAGGCGGCUUACUGGACAGUGACUGACGUUGAGGCUCGAAAGCGUGGGGAGCAAACA